rnacentral:misc_RNA from 1 species
UCGCUACUUGCGUAGGCAGUCCACUUAGAGUGCCCAGCAUUACCUGAUGGCAACUAAGUGCAGGGGUUGCGCUCGUUGCAGGACUUAACCUAACACCUCACGACACGAGCUGACGACAGCCAUGCAGCACCUGUGUUCCCGUUCCCUUUCGGGCACACCCCCAUCUCUGGGGGCUUCCUGGCAUGUCAAGGGUAGGUAAGGUUUUUCGCGUUGCAUCGAAUUAAUCCACAUAAUCCACCGCUUGUGCGGGUCCCCGUCAAUUCCUUUGAGUUUUAACCUUGCGGCCGUACUCCCCAGGCGGCCAACUUCACGCGUUAGCUUCGUUACCAAGGAAUUGCUUCCCCGACAACCAGUUGACAUAGUUUACGGCAUGGACUAC